AUUGAACGCUGGCGGCAGGCCUAACACAUGCCAGUCGAGCGGAUGAAGGGAGCUUGCUCCUGGAUUCAGCGGCGGACGGGUGAGUAAUGCCUAGGAAUCUGCCUGGUAGUGGGGGAUAACGUCCGGAAACGGGCGCUAAUACCGCAUACGUCCUGAGGGAGAAAGUGGGGGAUCUUCGGACCUCACGCUAUCAGAUGAGCCUAGGUCGGAUUAGCUAGUUGGUGGGGUAAAGGCCUACCAAGGCGACGAUCCGUAACUGGUCUGAGAGGAUGAUCAGUCACAAUGGAACUGAGACACGGUCCAGACUCCUACGGGAGGCAGCAGUGGGGAAUAUUGGACAAUGGGCGAAAGCCUGAUCCAGCCAUGCCGCGUGUGUGAAGAAGGUCUUCGGAUUGUAAAGCACUUUAAGUUGGGAGGAAGGGCAGUAAGUUAAUACCUUGCUGUUUUGACGUUACCAACAGAAUAAGCACCGGCUAACUUCGUG
rnacentral:rRNA from 1 species